rnacentral:rRNA from 1 species
UACGAAGGGGGCUAGCGUUGCUCGGAAUUACUGGGCGUAAAGCGCACGUAGGCGGCUUUCUAAGUCGGGGGGUGAAAUCCUGGAGCUCAACUCCAGAACUGCCUUCGAUACUGGAGAGCUUGAGUCCGGGAGAGGUGAGUGGAACUGCGAGUGUAGAGGUGAAAUUCGUAGAUAUUCGCAAGAACACCAGUGGCGAAAGGCG